GAUGAACGCUGGCGGCGUGCCUAAUACAUGCAAGUCGAGCGAACAGAUGAGGAGCUUGCCCCUUUGACGUUAGCGGCGGACGGGUGAGUAACACGUGGGUAACCUACCUAUAAGACUGGGAUAACUUCGGGAAACCGGAGCUAAUACCGGAUAAUAUUUCGAACCGCAUGGUUCGAUAGUGAAAGAUGGCUUUGCUAUCACUUAUAGAUGGACCUGCGCCGUAUUAGCUAGUUGGUAAGGUAACGGCUUACCAAGGCAACGAUACGUAGCCGACCUGAGAGGGUGGUCGGCCACACUGGAACUGAGACACGGUCCAGACUCCUACGGGAGGCAGCAGUAGGGAAUCUUCCGCAAUGGGCGAAAGCCUGACGGAGCAACGCCGCGUGAGUGAUGAAGGUCUUCGGAUUGUAAAACUCUGUUAUUAGGGAAGAACAAACGUGUAAGUAACUGUGCACGUCUUGACGGUACCUAAUCAGAAAGCCACGGCUAACUACGUGCCAGCAGCCGCGGUAAUACGUAGGUGGCAAGCGUUAUCCGGAAUUAUUGGGCGUAAAGCGCGCGUAGGCGGUUUUUUAAGUCUGAUGUGAAAGCCCACGGCUCAACCGUGGAGGGUCAUUGGAAACUGGAAAACUUGAGUGCAGAAGAGGAAAGUGGAAUUCCAUGUGUAGCGGUGAAAUGCGCAGAGAUAUGGAGGAACACCAGUGGCGAAGGCGACUUUCUGGUCUGUAACUGACGCUGAUGUGCGAAAGCGUGGGGAUCAAACAGGAUUAGAUACCCUGGUAGUCCACGCCGUAAACGAUGAGUGCUAAGUGUUAGGGGGUUUCCGCCCCUUAGUGCUGCAGCUAACGCAUUAAGCACUCCGCCUGGGGAGUACGACCGCAAGGUUGAAACUCAAAGGAAUUGACGGGGACCCGCACAAGCGGUGGAGCAUGUGGUUUAAUUCGAAGCAACGCGAAGAACCUUACCAAAUCUUGACAUCCUUUGACCCUUCUAGAGAUAGAAGUUUCCCCUUCGGGGGACAAAGUGACAGGUGGUGCAUGGUUGUCGUCAGCUCGUGUCGUGAGAUGUUGGGUUAAGUCCCGCAACGAGCGCAACCCUUAAGCUUAGUUGCCAUCAUUAAGUUGGGCACUCUAAGUUGACUGCCGGUGACAAACCGGAGGAAGGUGGGGAUGACGUCAAAUCAUCAUGCCCCUUAUGAUUUGGGCUACACACGUGCUACAAUGGACAAUACAAAGGGCAGCGAAACCGCGAGGUCAAGCAAAUCCCAUAAAGUUGUUCUCAGUUCGGAUUGUAGUCUGCAACUCGACUACAUGAAGCUGGAAUCGCUAGUAAUCGUAGAUCAGCAUGCUACGGUGAAUACGUUCCCGGGUCU
rnacentral:rRNA from 1 species